rnacentral:SRP_RNA from 1 species
CUGUGCUAGAUGGGGAUGUAGCGGCACCCUGUACCUGCAAUCCGCUAUAGCAGGAUUGAAUUCCUGUUCGAGGCUUAUUUUUGUGGGGCCUGCCCCAUACAAGUGGCGAUGAUAGUUGGGUCUUGCGCAACGGAAUCCUGUGAACCCCGCCAGGUCCGGAAGGAAGCAACGGUAAGCAGUCACUUUCGUGUGCCGCAGGGUUGCCUGAUUAGAGUUAACUAUAUGGGUAACGCUUGUAGGUGUAAGUCGACAACAGGUGCACAG